rnacentral:rRNA from 1 species
UACGAAGGGACCUAGCGUAGUUCGGAAUUACUGGGCGUAAAGCGCGCGUAGGCGGUUAAGUAAGUUAAUUGUGAAAUCCCAAAGCUUAACUUUGGAACUGCAAUUAAAACUAUUUAGCUAGAGUUUGAUAGAGGAAAGCGGAAUACAUAGUGUAGAGGUGAAAUUCGUAGAUAUUAUGUAGAACACCAGUUGCGAAGGCGGCUUUCUGGAUCAUUACUGACGCUGAGGUGCGAAAGUAUGGGUAGCGAAGAGG